GAUGAAGAACGUAGUGAAAUGCGAUAAGUAAUGUGAAUUGCAGAAUUCAGUGAAUCAUCGAAUCUUUGAACGCACAUUGCGCCCCCUGGUAUUCCGGGGGGCAUGCCUGUUCGAGCGUCAUUUCAACCCUCAAGCUCUGCUUGGUAUUGGGCGUCGCCGGGGAGUCUCCCCGGCGUGCCUCAAAGCCAUCGGCGGUGGUGCCUUUCUCUAAGCGUGGUAGAAUUUUUAUUCGCUUCUGAGUUGGGCUUCGCCUGCCGGACAAACCGGGCCCUCGCGGCUCACCUUCUCAGGUUGACCUCGGAUCAGGUAGGGAUACCCGCUGAACUUAAGCAUAUCAAUAAGCGGAGGA
rnacentral:misc_RNA from 1 species